UAGUAGCUACAAUUGUGCACCUUCUUUGUUUAAAGCCACACCUUUUGUACUUGUCAAUUGUGAUUGAAAGAAAUUCCUUGCCUUUAUUUAUACUGUCUGGGUUUGGCAUUUUCUAGGAGGAUGGGGAAGAAGAAACCAUCUGAGGCAAUUAUUUCAUACUUGUCAGAUGAACUAGGAUGAAAACUCUUCAGUAAUAUGGUGAAUAAGGAGCACAGUUAGGCCAAUUGAAUUUUAAAUCCUCUCCCUCCUUUUCUCAAACCUUGAGA
rnacentral:lncRNA from 1 species